CCUACGGGAGGCAGCAGUAGGGAAUCUUUCACAAUGGGCGAAAGCCUGAUGGAGCAACGCCGCGUGCAGGAUGAAGGCCUUCGGGUUGUAAACUGCUUUUAUAAGCGAGAAAUAUGAUGGUAACUUAUGAAUAAGGAUCGGCUAACUACGUGCCAGCAGCCGCGGUCAUACGUAGGAUCCGAGCAUUAUCCGGAGUGACUGGGUGUAAAGAGUCGCGUAGGUGGCAUAAUAAGUAGCUAGUGAAAUCUGGUGGCUCAACCAUUCAGACUAUUAGCUAAAAUGUUAAGCUCGAGACCGUUAGGGGUAACUGGAAUUUCUAGUGUAGGAGUGAAAUCCGUAGAUAUUAGAAGGAACACCAAUAGCGUAGGCAGGUUGCUGGGACGGUUCUGACACUAAGGCACGAAAGCGUAGGGAGCAAACGGGAUUAGAUACCCCAGUAGUC
rnacentral:rRNA from 1 species